ACGCUCGACACCUACGGGAGACAGCAGGUGGGGAAUAUUGCACAAUGGGGGAAACCCGUGAUGCAGCGACGCCGCGUGAGUGAAGAAGUAUUUCGGUAUGUAAAGCUCUAUCAGCAGGGAAGAAAAUGACGGUACCUGAGUAAGAAGCCCCGGCUAACUACGUGCCAGCAGCAGCGGUAAUCUGAGCGGGCUGGCAAGGC
rnacentral:rRNA from 1 species